AUGUCUUCACCUGUUCAAACCAUCCUCUUCCUCUCCAUCUGGUUCACAAUAAGAUGCUAAAUUUGAUCCUGACCUUCUUGAGUCGUUAAGAUUCCAAAUAAAUGUUGACUUGAAUUCUCUGAUUUCUUCUCUGCAGGUCAGGCUCUGGCAGCAGCACACGUCUGCAGGAUGUCUCCAGCUCUGUUCGGACUCAUCCUCGUCCUGCUCCCAUCAUAUGAAGCCAAGAGUGUGAAAUUUGAUCCCUCUCAUCCCAAAAUAGUCCACAAAACAGAAACAGUGGAGUUUAAAUGCAAACACAAUGACAGUGCUAUGAAUGUGAUGCUCUGGUACCAGCAAACCCAGACAGUUGGCUUGAAUCUAAUCGGAUACAGCUACCAGGGCAGCGAUCCGAACUAUGAGGAGCAGUUCAAGACUGGCUUCAAGAUUACGAGAGAAGACGUGAAAAAUGGGGCUCUGAUCAUUCGCAAUGUGAACCCCACAGACUCGGCUGUGUAUUUCUGCGCUGCCAGUACACAGUGA